rnacentral:rRNA from 1 species
GACGAACGCUGGCGGCGUGCUUAACACAUGCAAGUCGAGCGGAGCGGCGAACGGGUGAGUAACGCGUGAGUAACUGCCCCCCUCUCUGGGAUAACAGUUGGAAACGGCUGCUAAUACCGGAUAGUGGGGGAUGACUCGCGUCCUAUCAGCUUGUUGGUGGGGUAGUGGCCUACCAAGGCGACGACGGGUAGCCGGCCUGAGAGGGCGACCGGCCACAUUAGGCUGAGAUAGGGCCCAGACGCGAACAGGGGGCAGCAGUGGAGAAUAUUGCACAGUGGGGGAGACCCGGAUGCAGAGGCGCCGGGUGCGGAAUGACGGCCUUCGGGUUGUAAACCGCUUGCAGCCAUGACGCGGUAGUGGCAGAAGAAGCACCGGCUAACUACGUGCCAGCCGCCGCGGUAAUAC